UCCGUUGUCGUCCAGCGGUUAGCAUAUCUGGCUUUCACCCAGGAGAACCGGGUCUGAUUCCUGGCAACGCAA
rnacentral:tRNA from 1 species